rnacentral:lncRNA from 1 species
GGAUUCCCUCUCCUCCCCUCACAGUUUUUUUCUCUUCUUUCUCCCACUACUUUUUUUUCGUCUUUCUCUCUACAAAAAAUUGGGAAGUAAAGAGAAGGGAAAAAAAAUAUGAGGGAAGAUAAUUCUUGUCUGAAAUAUACAUGUAAAGGUCUUACGAGGACCCUCUGGAUGUUUGGUACAUGUCUUUUUUGUGCACACCAAGUGUUUGACAAAAUGUUUCUCGCAAGCUGCAUUAACACUCGACAAAUUCUCUCAAUAGCACUCGUCAGAUUGCCUCGGCAUAUGUCAAUAUCUUCUUAAAUGUGUGCAACUUGGUUCGGUUGAUGACACAAACCCACCAAUUGCUCGCCUAAAUGCCUCCAUGAAUAAACUAUCUUUUUGCGCACUUCGCACUAUAUUUUCUAGAUCUGCCACUGUCUCCGUCGUGAUAGUGUACCAUUCAUAUUCAUUGCAUUUACCUCCUAAAUUGACACAAAGACAAAUCCAUCAUGUACAAUGAAUGAGGGUUUUAGAUGAUUAGUUGUGAUUAAUUAGGAUAAGUAAAGAACCUAUAACAUAUAAGAAUGUACAUGGUAUGUGAAUGAAUGUAAACUGUGGGGUGACUAGAUUCUGACCGAAGUAAAACAAGGACCACGCGUCAUGUUUGUGUCUGAAUGCGUUUUCCCCAAACAAGGACCACGCUUUAUUUGUUGAGUUUUACCAAACUGUUAACAAUGCAUUAAUUUUCUAUACAUGAAUAUGUUUACACUAAGAAGUGAGAGAAUAAAAUAUUACAGGGUGAUCUAGUAGUUAUGGACGAAUUUCAAGCUCGUAUUUUGCACAACACAUUUUGGGUUUGAUUCUUAACGUCGGUGAAUCCCACAAUGAUGGCUAGGAGGAGGCUCAUAUGUCUAUGUGAGUCUUCUUGGCCCUCAGAAAUGUAGACUUUCAGGGUGAGCCACCAACUAUUCUCCUUUUUAAAGAAAUAAAUCAAUUGGUAUUAAACUCGCAAUUCAAAAAAUUCGAACUAAAGACUUCAAAAUUGCAAGCGAAAAAAAAUAUUACUAAACUAUAAUAUUAAAUGGCAACAACGCAUUAAUCUUCUUAGGCUUAUUAUUGGAUAUAUAGUAAAGUCCCCAAUGGACCAAAAGCUUAACUAAUAGCACUUUAUAAUCUAGGUCUAGUUAAAACAUUAUUGUGAGAUUUGUGCUAGCAUCAGUUACGCAUAGACGUCACGUGAUCAAUUGUUAUUGAACCACAUGUUCAUGCUUGACUAACACUAGCAUCUUUUUUGUUCCACAAGAACAUGAGAAUCUAUGUAAAUUAUUUACGUGUUUAAUUUACCAUUACACUUAAAGCUUUAGUUGAUACAAGGUAAAGCAACAAUUUGAUGAACUAGAAAAUUAAGUCUGUUGUAAAAAUUGUGGAAAUGUAUGCCCAUAUGUUUUAGCUAAUAGUGAGGAAGACUUGAAAAUAGUUGUGUUGUUGUUCAUAUGUGAGGUUUUUCAAAAGACAAUCAUUUCAUUUUUUGUAAACCUUCACGGAUGGGACUCUAUAUAAAGACUACUCCGUGUGUGAUCACAAUACACAACAAUGAAAAGAAGUGAAAGCAAUAAUAUCAGUACCUCUCCUUUCCUCUUUUUAUCUGCAAUCUUUUUGUGUUAUAGUUACAAAACUAAACAGUGUGAUAUUUUACACCUGCUUCGCUCAUGUCCUUAACAAAGAUUUCUUACUUUUGCCUAUUUAUAACGAAGUGGCUAACAACUAUCAUUCACGAGAAUCGUCCAUAACGAUCAAGGUUGAACAAUCAUCGAUUCUUUUGGCCAUGUGCAUUUACGAAUAUAAUUGUACUUGUCAACAGCUUAUUUAAAAAUCAUCCUAUUUGUGGCUUCUUGGUUAAUAUUUGUAGCUGUAUGCAUAUAUAAUUAUACAUUAAUCUCGGACAUUGCUAUAGAGUGUUAUUGUUCACAUGUGACAUGUCACACUCGUCGAAUACAAUUUUUUGUUUCGGCAAGUGGUUGUCGAAUAUAAUAAUAUAGGCCUCGGGGGAGAAGGUUGACAUAGUGUCUACUACGUCCCAAAACAGUUAUAUAGAUGACUAGACGAAAGCAUGUGUUAGUUAACCCAAAUUGGGAUAAGGAAAAUUUUAUUUAAAUCCAUGUAAUCUAUUUCUACACUUAAUUUAAAUUUAAAUUGUUAAUUGUCUAUUUUACCCUAUUGCAUAAUUAUUAUUAAGUAUAAAAUGAAAUUAAUAAUAAAAUUCAAAUUUAUCAAUAAACCCAUUAAACCAUAUCAUCACUUCUUGUUUAUCCUACAUUCAUUCUAGCUAAAACCCUAAGGGGCGUUUGUUGUACCGAACUGGACUAGCUUCAGGGACAAAACUGGACUGGCUUAGACUAGACUAAACUGGACUAACUUAGUGAAGUGUUUGGUGUAGUGUCGGACUAAAAAGCAGACUAAUUAAUAAAUUAUAAUAUUAUAUUUAUAUCUAUCAAUAUUUUAUGUAUCUAUUAAUAUUUUAUCUAUUUUAUUUUUAAUUUAUUUUUUUCCUUUUGGAUUCUCUUCCUUUUUUCUGGAAACAUUCACCAUUUUUCCACCAUUCUCCCUCGUUUUCUCUGGCACACUGUCUCCCUCUCAUCCCUCUUUUCUUCCCCCUUUUUCUCCUUGUUUUCUUCUUCAACGGAGGAAGCUAUGCAUUUUACACCUAAUUUGGAUCAAAGACCAACAAGUCUUUCUUCUUGUUCCUCUAACCAAAGAUAGCUCUCUUUUUCACAAAAAUCCCAAAUCAAGGUAAUAGAUUUCUGGGUUUCUGGAGAAGAGCAUUGUGGAUUUCUGGCGGUCUUUCGUUUUUUGCCUAUAGAUUUUUGAAGAAGUGCACAGCAACCCAAGGUAAUAGAUUUCUAGGUUUAUUGUAGAUUUUGAUAUUCUAUAUUUGAGAUUUAUAAUGUUUAAUCUUCGAACUGAAGUGUUGUGUAUGGGGUGGAUUAAGCUUAUUGGAAGCUUAACUAAAUGAAUUCAUCUUUGAAGCAAAGAGGGGGUUGGAUUUGCGGGAUGAAAUGGGCAGAGCUGUUUCAGAUUUGGUGACUAGAGAAGAGGGCGGAAGGCAUGAUUUGGUAACUGGGUUCGUGGGAAGAAGGAGAUCCGGGAUGCAUGCUUGCAGACGACGUGGGUGCUAGAGACGGGAUUAGCAAUCCGCCAGUUUUCUAAGGGACCAUCUAAGAACAGCUAGUGAAGCUUUUAGUCGGUGCGAGUCCGACUUAGUCUCAUUAAAGGCAGUCUUUGUUUGCACCAAACACGGGCUAGGACUCCUACCUAAGGCAGUCCAGUCUAGUGAGACUUAAAGAGGCCAAACAAACGUGCCCUAAUAGGUCUCGUAGAGAAAAACAAACUUUUUUUUUUAUGGAUGGUGAUUUUGAAGUUUUGAAUCCUCAAACUAAGGUAUGACUCAAUUUAUGAAUAUUUUGUUUGUUUGAUUCAAUUUUUUAAAAGUUUAGAAGAUGAGGAUUUGGGUUUUAAUUUUUUUCAUCAAUCCCGAAUGGUUUGUUAAACUUCCUGCAAUUGGAAAAUUCUAAGGAAAAACUUCUUACCAAUAUUAUUAGAUUAUAAACUUCCUUACUUGUUGAUAAAUAUAAGGGGAUGAAUUGUUUGCUUAUGCACAUCAGUAGAAAUAAAAAAGGUAAAUGUUUGGGUUUGAUAGCAGAAAAAAAAAAAAAAAAAAAAGUUGCCAUGGAAAUGCUAUUAGGAAGAGGGGUGGGGCAAUGACGCCUCUUUUUUUUUUUUUUUUUUUUUUUUUUUUAAAUUCAAUUACAGAUGUUAUUUUAUAAAGGGAAUGGGUGUAAAGAUAACUUAACAUUUUGAAUUGGGUUUGAGAUGGUAGUUUUGGUAAUAAAUUUGGGUUUAAAUAGAGAUUAAUUCUUUAAUAAAAAACAAUAUGGGUGAAGAGAGUAAGUUGGGUGUAGAAAGAGGUUACAUGGGUUCAAAUAAAAUUUCCGUUAGGAUAAUUUAUUAGCCAUUUACAAGUGAACAUAUCAUAAUGUCUAUAUGUCUCAUAAGAAAAUAACAGAGUAUCCAACUUGCUAAAAAAAUAAGAAGAAUAUAAUACUUUUCAUUUACAAGUGAAGAAUAAUACUACUUACAAGGAAUUAAUGGAAAUUCUCCCCUUUUGGUUUCACUUAAGCGGUUGAUGCAAUCCAAGAUCAAGAGGAAGCUAAAGGACUCGCCAACGCUCGUGAAAACCUGGGUUUGGGAAGCUCGAUCAACCCUUGCUCUAAUAAAGAUGAGAUCUUAUGUGUUUUCAUGCCCCUUCGAUAAAUGGACAACUUCCUUGGAGAACUGGCCAUUCAAGAAGGAGAUUUUGGAAUUGCAAAACAAGAAACUCACGCCCAGUAGAGCUAUAUGCGUUCAGAGUUGUGGCUAGCAGUCAGACUCUAUUAUGGAUUCUGGACCACAUUCUCCAUAGAGCCCUCUUAUCUCUUCCUUGUGGAUAAUUGUAAUGUAUAAAUUCAUUGUAUUUGUUAAUAAAAUAAGAUAAAAUAAAAUAAAAACUUUAGGUAACAAAAAUUUUCCCACAUAGAUUGAUCCUUUUGCUACACAACGAUAAAUUAUAUUAAAGGGUGGGUAAUGGAAGAAGUCACACAAUGGACUCAUCAUAAUAAUGUGUGUUGAACUCGCCCUCUAUUGGGAAGUAAAGAGAAGGGGAAAAAAAUAUGAGGGAAGAGAAUUCUUGUCUGAAAUAUACAUGAAAGGUCUUACGAGGACCCUCUGGAUGUUUGGUAAAUGUCCUUUUUGUGCACACCAAGUGUUUGACAAAAUGUCUAUCGCAAGCUGCGUCAACACUCGAUAAAUUCUCUCAAUAGCACUCGUCAGAUUGCUUCGGCAUAUGUCAAUAUCUUCUUAAAUGUGUGCAACUUGGUUCGACUGAUGACAACAAGCCCAUCAAUUGCUCGCCUAAAUGCCUCCAUGAAUAAACUAUCUUUUUGUGCACUUCGCACUAUGUUUUCUACAUC